rnacentral:rRNA from 1 species
UAAUACGGAGGGUGCAAGCGUUAUCCGGAAUCAUUGGGUUUAAAGGGUCCGCAGGCGGUCAAUUAAGUCAGAGGUGAAAUCCCAUAGCUUAACUAUGGAACUGCCUUUGAUACUGGUUGACUUGAGUUAUACGGAAGUAGAUAGAAUGUGUAGUGUAGCGGUGAAAUGCAUAGAUAUUACACAGAAUACCGAUUGCGAAGGCAGUCUACUACGUAUAUACUGACGCUCAUGGACGAAAGCGUGGGGAGCGAACAGGAUUAGAUACCCUGGUAGUCCACGCCGGAACGAUGGACACUAGUUGUUGGGAUUUAUCUCAGUGACUAAGCGAAAGUGAUAAGUGUCCCACCUGGGGAGUACGGUCGCAAGAUUG